UAGUCAUUUCCGAAAAUUGGUAUUCUCCAUGUUAGUCAUUUCCGAAAAUGUUUUUCUCUCCUACUCCAGUAAGCUAACACGUCACUUCUCUUCUAUUCCAUUUGUGUCUGUUCCAUGGGUUUUUCUUUGUCCUAAUUCUUUCUCUGUGAUUUCGUUAUUCUCGGAAAUAUCGCCUCAUCUCAACCCUAGGAAGUAAAAUGCAUAGGGUAGGAGAUCUAUCUCCGUCGUCUCAGGCGUUGGUCCUUUACUGUCCAUUUGUAAUCGUUAUCUCUUUUUGGUAUCAACUAAUUGACCAAACAAAGUACUUGGAUCAUCAAUUAGAGUUUGAAUGAAGGCAUUUACCACUAUAUGCUCGUUUUCUUUGAUCUCAAGCUAAACCAACAUUGACGCAACGAUGACAAGUAUAAACGGUUAGGUGUGAUACAUGGAAAUAUCUUGUGAAAAAGAUACUAAAGGCGGGUUCCUUAAGAAAAUUAUUUUUUAAGUGAUGAUCGAGCAACCAAAACUCAAAUAGAAUGCACUGGUGCUGAAGUGGUUUGCUUAAUUAAGAAAGUUGAGAUUACUUUUAUUGUAAUUUUAGGGAUGAUUUACUGGGAUGAGCACCAGUAGAGUUAAAUGUUUGCUGCCUUUUUUAGUCAAGAUUUGCUCCAUUAUAACAAAAAAAAAUCAAAUGUAUUCUUGAGAAGACAAUUGACUUUACUGAUUUUCUUUUUUCACGCAGUAGAAAAGAUCAUGGUUGCAAGAUCAGAUAUUCUUAAGAAUUGUGUGUGUCUCUAUUAGAUACUUGGCCAUUCAACUGAGCUGCAAUGUAUUAGAAAUUCACAGGCAA